AUUGAACGCUGGCGGCAUGCUUUACACAUGCAAGUCGAACGGCAGCGCGGGCUUCGGCCUGGCGGCGAGUGGCGAACGGGUGAGUAAUACAUCGGAACGUGCCCAGUAGUGGGGGAUAGCUCGGCGAAAGCUGGAUUAAUACCGCAUACGACCUGAGGGUGAAAGCGGGGGAUCUUCGGACCUCGCGCUAUUGGAGCGGCCGAUGGCAGAUUAGCUAGUUGGUGGGGUAAAGGCCUACCAAGGCGACGAUCUGUAGCUGGUCUGAGAGGACGACCAGCCACACUGGGACUGAGACACGGCCCAGACUCCUACGGGAGGCAGCAGUGGGGAAUUUUGGACAAUGGGCGAAAGCCUGAUCCAGCAAUGCCGCGUGUGUGAUGAAGGCCUUCGGGUUGUAAAGCACUUUUGGCGGGAACGAAAAGGACUGUGCCAAUACCACGGUUCGGUGACGGUACCCGCAGAAUAAGCACCGGCUAACUACGUG
rnacentral:rRNA from 1 species